CUCGAUACUACUACUACUAAAUAUCUAUAUCGACUAAUACAUAACCUACAAGUGUCACGUUUUUAUCGUUUUUAUUUAAACCUGUUUAAAAUCAUUUUAUAACAAUGUAAUCUUAUAAAUAACAGAAACCUUCUUUAUGAGGUGUUUCUUUUUUAUACCUUGUGCGCCAUAAACCAUGUAUUUUCCAAAAAAAAUUUUUCCACAUUAUUAUUCCAAAAUUGUGACCUGAAGAGGAUACUUAGGUAUCGAAACGUUGUCAACCAAUUUGAUAACAUCAAUAAAGACCGUAACUAAGGCCUCGUAAAAAUUAUUACCCAAUAUAUACUUUUAAUUAUUUAUUAUUAAUUAUUUCAAUAUUUAUUUGUAUUUUGAAAAAAUAUAAACUAUUCCAAAAAAAUAA